AACGAACGCUGGCGGCAGGCCUAACACAUGCAAGUCGAGCGAGGACUUCGGUUCUAGCGGCGGACGGGUGAGUAACGCGUGGGAAUGUGCCCUUCUCUACGGAAUAGCCCUGGGAAGCUGGGAGUAAUACCGUAUACGCCCUAUUGGGGAAAGAUUUAUCGGAGAAGGAUCAGCCCGCGUUGGAUUAGGUAGUUGGUGGGGUAAUGGCCUACCAAGCCGACGAUCCAUAGCUGGUUUGAGAGGAUGAUCAGCCACACUGGGACUGAGACACGGCCCAGACUCCUACGGGAGGCAGCAGUGGGGAAUCUUAGACAAUGGGGGCAACCCUGAUCUAGCCAUGCCGCGUGAGUGAUGAAGGCCUUAGGGUUGUAAAGCUCUUUCAGCUGGGAAGAUAAUGACGGUACCAGCAGAAGAAGCCCCGGCUAACUCCGUG
rnacentral:rRNA from 1 species